rnacentral:rRNA from 1 species
GUCAAAUCAUCAUGCCCUUUAUGACCUGGGCCACACACGUACUACAAUGGCCGCGAACAGAGAGAAGCGAAACGGCGACGUGGAGCAAAACUCACAAAAGCGGUCCCAGUUCGGAUUGCAGGCUGCAACCCGCCUGCAUGAAGCCGGAAUUGCUAGUAAUCGCGGAUCAGCAUGCCGCGGUGAAUACGUUCCCGGGCCUU